UACGUAGGGGGCUAGCGUUGUCCGGAUUUAUUGGGCGUAAAGAGCGUGUAGGCGGCCAGGUAGGUCUGCUGUGAAAACUCGAGGCUCAACCUCGAGACGUCGGCGGAAACCAUCUGGCUAGAGUCCGGAAGAGGAGAGUGGAAUUCCUGGUGUAGCGGUGAAAUGCGCAGAUAUCAGGAAGAACACCCGUGGCGAAGGCGGUCUCCUGGGGCAUUCUUGACGCUGGAGGCGCGAAAGCGUGGGGAGCGAACAGG
rnacentral:rRNA from 1 species